rnacentral:lncRNA from 1 species
AAGCAUAUAAGGUAUAUCUCUAUAGAAUAUAAUACAAAAAAAAAUCUUACUCAGUUUUCCCCAAAUCAAUACCUAAUUUCCUCAUCACUAUUUAUCACUCUAUUAUUUUCUCAUUGAUCUAGAACUUUAACUUUAAUAUAAUGAAUUAGUAUGUAUGCCAGAAAUAGUUUCUAGAUCUUCAAGUUAGUUCCCUUCUGUUUUUUUUUUUUUUUUUUAAUAGCCAUAUUGCCUUGUGUUAACUACUUGAACUUCUCUGUAGGUCUUGUGAUAUAAUUGGGACACCUCUUCUCAGCAUGAUCCUUUUCACAUGGUUCAUUUAUUCUUUUUUAUUAUGAGAUUAAUUCAAACUGAACUAGCUGAAUGAAUGAAAAUAGUUUGAUUACUAUUCCUAGUAGGGUGAGCAUGGAAAUGUUGGCUAUUCUUGACUAAAACUUCAUGUAAUUGUACAAAUUAAACACAUUUUUGUGGCUAUUCUUUAUCUAGUAUAUAUAUUAAUCUCCAAAAAUCCUCAGAAAAUAAAAAUCAAAAAAUCCGUUGUUUUCUCUCAACCUCACCUAAUUUACUAUAUUUGUCUACCUUGUCCAGUUUAUUUUCAAAAUAUCCCAUAUUUUCUAUAAUGAUGUGCAUCUUAGAAUCAAAACAAAUAUGCUUACAGAGAAGAAAUGAUUAAUAUAACUUUAUACAAGAGGUUUGGAGCCACUAGAGAACUAGAGCCUGUCUAUUCAAUUUAUUACAGAGACUUGGAAGACAGUCUGUGACUAGAAACUGCUAGAAACUUAGUUUACCUGUGAGUUCACAGAAAGGAAUGUGUAGAUCUUGUUCCAUAUUUCUCUGAAGCCAAAUUUUCCUUUCCUAUUGUACCUGUUCUGUCCUAUGGAUGUUUUCCUCAGUAAAGAUGGUUAAGAGAGAUGCCUGCCUAAUGUAUCACCUAAUCUUUGUGUCUGAAUAUGCGAGCAUCCCUGGUUUUUGUGUGGCAUGCUUAACAUAGAUUCAAAAGAACUUGUUCCAUAGCUGUCCUUUUUCUAACUCUUCUGUUUUGCAUGAGCAAUCCUUGCGAUUAAAAAUUCAUUUUUUUUCUGGCAAUGUUGGCAAAGUUACAUGGAUCUCACCACUGGCUAAAGUGCUCCUUCUACAUGCUCACUGGUGUUUUCCUUAAUGGCCUAUAAUUUCAACUCCUUUAGCUCUCUUUGCAGAAUGCUAUAAUGAAGGAGGUGUGACUUGGGUUCAGAAAUGUGAUGGUAAAUUAUCCAUCUAUGAAUUAACAUGUAUAAUUUAAACACACUUCAUGAAUAAUGAUGAUUUUCAAGUUUGACUUUAUCAUCUAAGUGAAAGGUAAGGUCUCUUAUUUCCCACUCUGUACAUUUCAUAUAAUAAAGAUUAAAAAUGUAUGCUCUGGUUUUGUGGAAACAGUUUUACAGCUUACUGAAAGGUAUUUCUGGGAAGCCCAUUCUGUACAAUCAAGUAGCAGAGGAGGUGAUGACAUCCAUUCGUUCUGAGAUAACGUCUUCUCCAUCCUCCACCAGACACUAACACUGAGCUUUGAC